UACGGAGGGAGCAAGCGUUACUCGGAAUUAUUGGGCGUAAAGGGCUCGUAGGCGGUUUGUCGCGUCGGGAGUGAAAAUCCAGGGCUUAACUCUGGACUGGCUUUCGAUACGGGCAGACUAGAGGUAUGCAGGGGAGAACGGAAUUCCUGGUGUAGCGGUGAAAUGCGCAGAUAUCAGGAGGAACACCGGUGGCGAAGGCGGUUCUCUGGGCAUUACCUGACGCUGAGGAGCGAAAGUGUGGGGAGCGAACAGG
rnacentral:rRNA from 1 species